UCAACAAAGGAGUGUCAAAACCAGAAGGACGACCAGAAGAAGAAGACCAUUGUUUGUGUGGCCAGUGGAUUCUACCCUGAUCAUGUCGGUGUGGUCUGGAAGAUCGACGGGGAGAAUGUCACCACCGGUGUGGCGACCGACAACGCUGCCCUCCGAGAAGGCAAGCAUUACACAAUCACCAGCAGGCUGAGGGUCUCUGCCAAAGAAUGGUUCACAAAAGGCCUAGAGUUCACCUGCUCCGUCAGCUUCUUCGACGGGACAAAUACUGAACUUCAUGAAGGAUCAAUUCAUGGGGUAGAAGGUAAAGGAGGAACCCUGACAAGAGAGAAAUAUCUGAGGGUCACACAGAGCGCCAAACUCUCCUACGGUGUUUUCAUCGUCAAGAGCAGCAUCUAUGGAGCCUUUGUGGCGUUUUUGGUGUGGAAGCUUCAGAGUUCAGCUGGGAAGCGGAACGACUGAGAGCUGAGCUGAAGCCUGAACAGACCAUCUUUAUCUCGGUUUCUGUAAAUAGAGUUCAUAGUUAUGUUUCCACAGCUUUGUGUGUCACAGUGUAUUUGCAUUCAUAUAUAAAUGAGCCAAUCAAAUGACAUCAGAGGGAUUUAUUCCUAUUGCAAUAUUAAAUCUAUUGCUGGCAUGGAAGUAUAUUAGAUGUAAACUAUUUUAAAAACACGCCUACUGUACGUUUGUGCUUGUGAAUUAUUUCAUGGUUGAUUUCCUUCUCAAUAAAAGUAGAUCACAUGAUCUAACAGAUUGAA